rnacentral:rRNA from 1 species
AACGAACGCUGGCGGCGUGCCUAACACAUGCAAGUCGAGCGAGAAAGUCCGCAAGGAUGAGUACAGCGGCGCACGGGUGCGUAACACGUGGGUAAUCUGCCCUGGAGCCCGGAAUAACCUCCCGAAAGGGAAGCUAAUGCCGGAUAAGACCACGGGAGCUUCGGCUCCCGCGGGAAAAGGUGGCCUCUGUACACAAGCUAUCACUCCUGGAUGAGCCCGCGGCCCAUCAGCUAGUUGGCGGGGUAACGGCCCACCAAGGCUACGACGGGUAGCUGGUCUGAGAGGACGAUCAGCCACACUGGAACUGAGACACGGUCCAGACUCCUACGGGAGGCAGCAGUGGGGAAUCUUGCGCAAUGGGCGAAAGCCUGACGCAGCAACGCCGCGUGUGUGAGGAAGGUCUUCGGAUCGUAAAGCACUGUCGGGAGGAACGAAUCUCCUCCUGGUAAAUAAUCAGGAGGAUUGACGGUACCGGGAGAAGAAGCCACGGCUAACUCUGUGCCAGCAGCCGCAGUAAGAC